GCGGGGCGCCGGGUCGUCAAGGCGACGGUGGCGCGUUGCGGGGUCGGUGGGAGACGCCGCGCGCGCGGAGGACUGCGGACCUGUCCGGACCCUUCGCAGCGGUCGUGUCCUGCGCCAUGGGCAGCAAGAAGAAGGAGAUCGCGCUGCAGGUCAACAUCAGCACCCAGGAGCUUUGGGAAGAAAUGCUCAGUUCCAAAGGACUAACUGUUGUUGACGUCUACCAAGGCUGGUGUGGGCCCUGCAAGCCUGUGGUGAGCCUCUUCCAGAAGAUGAGGAUGGAGCUUGGCCUGGACCUCCUACAUUUCGCAUUAGCAGAAGCGGAUUGUCUGGAUGUCCUUGAAAGAUACCGGGGGAAGUGUGAGCCCACCUUUCUGUUCUACGCAGGAGGACAGCUGGUGGCAGUGGUUAGGGGAGCAAAUGCUCCCCUGCUGCAGAAGACCAUCCUUGACCAACUGGAGGCUGAAAAGAAGGUGCUGGCUGAAGGCAGGCAGCGGAAGGUGAUUAAAGACCAGGCUCUUUCUGAUGAAGAGGAAUGCUUUUCUCAUGAAAAAGAUGGUGGUGAACAUGAGGACAUGGUGUCAUCAAAGACCUGUACCCUGGCCAUCAUUAAACCAGAUGCAGUGGUCCAUGGAAAGACUGAUGAGAUUAUUGUGAAGAUCCAGGAAGCUGGGUUUGACAUUCUCACCCACGAAGAGAGAAGUCUGCCAGAAGCAGAUGUGCGACUUUUGUACCAACACAGAGCUGGAGAGGAGGUCUUUGGAAAGCUGGUACGUCACAUGUGCAGCGGGCCGAGCCAUCUCCUGAUCCUCACCAGAGCAGAGGACACCAAGGACGUGGUUACUGCCUGGCGGGACCUCAUGGGACCCUGUGACCCCAGUGUGGCCAGGGGGGAGCAGCCCGAAAGCCUCCGGGCCCAGUACGGCACAGAAAUGCCCUUCAAUGCAGUCCACGGGAGCCGAGACACAGAAGAUGCCAACCGAGAGCUGGCAUUGCUUUUCCCCAGUUUCAAGUUUUCGGACGAACAUACUGAAGCCUUUCAGGAUGAGCCGUGAAGAUAAAAGGAGGCAGGAUGCAAAGUCAACCUGGUGGCGUGUGUGCUCGACAAAUGCUUUCCUUUCUCCUGAGUCCUGGUCCCUAACACACACAUACGCUGAGGCCGGAGGAGCAUCCCUGAGGAUGUGAACUGAGAUGCUGUACUGUUCUCCUGAGCACGUCACCCCGGGCAAGGCCGUGACGUGAACCGUCUGCGCGCUCGCGUCUGCAUGGAAGGAACCGCACAGUAGAACUUCGUGUGCACCAGUGCCUUCUUGGCUUAGCGGUCUUUGUGGACAAUGAAAAGAAUAGUACUUUCUUGCCAUAUUAAACAGUAUACAGAACAUA